rnacentral:rRNA from 1 species
ACCCGCACAAGCGGUGGAUGAUGUGGUUUAAUUCGAUGCAACGCGAAAACCUUACCACCUUUGACAUGGCAGGAAUCCCGAAGAGAUUUGGGAGUGCUCGAAAGAGAACCUGCACACAGGUGCUGCAUGGCUGUCGUCAGCUCGUGUCGUGAGAUGUUGGGUUAAGUCCCGCAACGAGCGCAACCCUUGCCAUUAGUUGCUACGAAAGGGCACUCUAAUGGGACUGCCGGUGACAAACCGGAGGAAGGUGGGGAUGACGUCAAGUCCUCAUGGCCCUUAUAGGUGGGGCUACACACGUCAUACAAUGGCCGGUACAGAGGGUAGCCAACCCGCGAGGUGGCGCCAAUCCAUAAAGUUGGUCUCAGUUCAGAUUGUAGGCUGCAACCCGCCUGCAUGAAGAUGGAGUUGCUAGUAACCGCAGGUCAGCUAUACUGCGGUGAAUACGUUCCCGGGGCUU